rnacentral:rRNA from 1 species
GACGUAGGGCGCGAGCGUUGUCCGGAUUUAUUGGGCGUAAAGAGCUCGUAGGCGGCUUGUCGCGUCGACUGUGAAAACUCGGGGCUCAACUCCGAGCUUGCAGUCGAUACGGGCAGGCUAGAGUUCGGUAGGGGAGACUGGAAUUCCUGGUGUAGCGGUGAAAUGCGCAGAUAUCAGGAGGAACACCCGUGGCGAAGGCGGCUCUCUGGAACGCAACUGACGCUGAGACGCGAAAGCGUGGGGAGCAAACAGG